UAAAAGGAUUUUUUAAAACUCAGCACAAGAAAAAGCUGCGAGAAGAGUUGGGAAGAGAGAAAGAUAAGAACUGAGAGCUGGUUCCUGGGACAACACUGGGACCCCGACUUCGGGGGAGAAACGCUGGAGGGGAAAACACUUCUUUCCCACAUCAGAUGUUUCCUGAAGCAUGGAGGGGGUGCCACUAACAUAACACUCAAUACUUUGUUCCAGCGCUUCUAGCAAGUUUCCUGAUGUGGCAUUUGGGGGACAACACCUGACUUUACCGGUAGCCCCACAAGAUUCCACAAAAAAAGUGACUUCUUACCUAAGAGGCUAACCACAUCCCAAAUUGAUCUCAGUGGACUCCAUCCCCCCCCAUGGUUGUAAGCAUAGUUGAUACAACACAGGAUCCUGCACAUAAGUCCAGCCUUAUCAUACCUUAGUAGACUGACUUGUCGAAGCUACUUAACUUUCAUCAGCUUCAGUUUCUUCACUUGUAAGAUGGGAUGAGAACAACAUCUUCCCCAAAGAUCAAACACAAGGAUGAAGUGAGAUCUGUCCCUCCUGAUGUAUCUCAGCUGCUGCUGUUCUUCUCCUUCCCUGGAGGCACUGGAGCUGCAUUAUGCUUUAAAAGAUGGACCAUAAAGCCUUUGUUAAGUUGUCCCUAUAAUAUAUCCUUUAUGUCUGUACUUAGAUGAGACUGUAACCCCUAGAGGAGCAGAGCCAAGUUGUUAGCUCGCAUUCAUGGUUCUAAAUUCAGUGCUCUGAGCAGAUCGGGUUUAUCCUUAUGACGAUGAUGAAGAGGAGUUGGAAGAUUUUUCUUCCAUUAUAUCAAAUGCAACUACUGAGUUUUAUAGGCUCCCUCUUAGAAUUUUCUGGAUGGUCUCCUCUUUUUUUCAUUUGAAUACCUUACUCCCCUGGAGUAAAAUGCAGGAUUGAGAGGUAAAUGAUCUGAAAACAAAUGUACGGUAAUACAUUCACUUUGGCUUACAAAAAUAAAACAACCCAAACCUA